ensembl:piRNA 21ur-4405 ncRNA
UGUUGACUGCCUCUCUUGGAA